rnacentral:misc_RNA from 1 species
GAUGAAGAACGCAGCGAAAUGCGAUACUUGGUGUGAAUUGCAGAAUCCCGUGAACCAUCGAGUCUUUGAACGCAAGUUGCGCCCGAAGCCAUUAGGCCGAGGGCACGCCUGCCUGGGCGCCACACGUCGUUGCCCCCCCAUCUACUCCUUCGGGAUUGAGGGGGGCGGAUGAUGGCCUCCCGUGCGCCUCGUCGCGCGGUUGGCAUAAAUGCCAAGUCCUCGGCGACGCACGCCACGACAAUCGGUGGUUGCGAAACCUCGGUUGCCCGUCGUGUGCGGUCGUCGCGCAUCGAGGGCUCGAAAAAAUUGCCGGGCUCCGGCUCGGCUUUCAACGCGACCCCAGGUCAGGCGGGGUUACCCGCUGAAUUUAAGCAUAUCAAUAAGCGGAGGA